GUGAUGAAGGUUUUCGGAUCGUAAAGCUCUGUUGUUAGGGAAGAACAAGUGCCGUUCAAAUAGGGCGGCACCUUGACGGUACCUAACCAGAAAGCCACGGCUAACUACGUGCCAGCAGCCGCGGUAAUACGUAGGUGGCAAGCGUUGUCCGGAAUUAUUGGGCGUAAAGGGCUCGCAGGCGGUUUCUUAAGUUUGAUGUGAAAGCCCCCGGCUCAACCGGGGAGGGUCAUUGGAAACUGGGGAACUUGAGUGCAGAAGAGGAGAGUGGAAUUCCACGUGUAGCGGUGAAAUGCGUAGAGAUGUGGAGGAACACCAGUGGCGAAGGCGACUCUCUGGUCUGUAACUGACGCUGAGGAGCGAAAGCGUGGGGAGCGAACAGGAUUAGAUACCCUGGUAGUCCACGCCGUAAACGAUGAGUGCUAAGUGUUAGGGGGUUUCCGCCCCUUAGUGCUGCAGCUAACGCAUUAAGCACUCCGCCUGGGGAGUACGGUCGCAAGACUGAAACUCAAAGGAAUUGACGGGGGCCCGCACAAGCGGUGGAGCAUGUGGUUUAAUUCGAAGCAACGCGAAGAACCUUACCAGGUCUUGACAUCCUCUGACAAUCCUAGAGAUAGGACGUCCCCUUCGGGGGCAGAGUGACAGGUGGUGCAUGGUUGUCGUCAGCUCGUGUCGUGAGAUGUUGGGUUAAGUCCCGCAACGAGCGCA
rnacentral:rRNA from 1 species